GAAGGCUCUUUCUCCUUUCUUAUUCUUCAUCUCUCUUCUCAUUCUUUCUUUCUCUCUGCUUCUUCUUCUCUGUUCAUCGCCUGAUAGAGAUUUGAGAGAUAAAUCGAGUUUUCAGAUCGAGAGAGAUAUGGGGAUGAUUGAGUAGUGGUUGUUGGUGGUUCUGAUUUUGGUUAGCUCUGGGAAGAAGAGGAGACGUCGGUGCUACUGUAAAUCGAAGAUAUGAUUUAUGAAUCUAGGUUUAUGUAUGAUGGAAAUGUGAAUUGUGAUGUUGAUAGAUGAGGAAAGGAUGGGAUUUUUGUUAGAUUGAGGAGGCGAAGCUUUUUUGAUGAUGAAUCGAAGAUUGGAAUUUAGUAAUUAGUGUUCUGCAUGUUUUUUUGGAAUUCAAAUUGGUCAAAGCUUGAGAAGAUUUAGGUAGAAUUAUAAGAUGGGUUUGUUUAAUUGAAGCUUCUGAAGCUGUUGUGGUGAUAAAUUGAGAAGAUAGGUUUAUGUGCAAGGAAUUAGGGUUCUUGAGUCUUAAACACAGAUAAAGAAGAUGUAAUUGAAGUUUUGGAGUUGAUUUGGUAAAGAAUUGAAGAUGAUUAGGGUUUCUGUUCUUCAAGAAAUAAGAACUAAGGUUUCAGAAGCAUUGGUUCGGUGAAUUAACAAUUCAGGGGAGGCCAAUGGUUGGGUAAGUUUCUGUUGUUUAAUUUCGCUAUUUGAAGUUGAAUUGCUAAUGAUUGUUGAGUUUAUAACUUUGUGUUCGAGACUGAGGUUGAGAUGAAUUGGGUAUUGCUUUGCUGAUGUUUUGAAGUAUAUGUCAUGUGCGACUGAAUCUGGUUGAUUAUCUGCAUAUGGGUAUUGACUGAAAUUGAAGUAGACAUGGUGGUGUAAGGAUGAUUUACAGGUUCCUUGUGAAAUUAAGGUUCACAAUUUAGAAUGGUGAUAAACUGAAGAUAAUUGAAUUGGGGAUGGAGUUGUCUGUGUAUUGAGAUUUCAAGUGAUGUAAAUGGGUAUGAACGAAUGAUGAUGGUAUUAACUGAAAUAGUAAUACUAGAUAUAAGCUGGGUCUGAUGUGUAUGAGGUGAAUGUGUGUUGUUGAAGAUGAGGUAUUGAAGUCGUUUAUUAAUAAGAAUGGGAGUUGAACUGUGGCUGACGUUGUUGGCCUAAUGGAUUCUAGGGAUGCUGAGCUGGGGAUGCAAUUGGUGUUAGUUUGUGAGAUAAUGAAAUUGCAGAUUCCGUAGGCAGUAAUGAAAUGGGGAUGUUGAUUGAACCGCGACUGAAUUGUUGUGCGUAUUGUAGUUAGUGAAUAUGAGAUGGAGGUGGUAAUAUGAUUGAUUGUAGUGGUAGUGUUGUAAUGGGGACGCAGGUGAUGCAAGUGAAGCUUUAGAUGAAUGUUAGGAAAUUACAGAUAAUGGUUUUCAGUGACUGCAAUGGGUUGCUGGACCGAAGUUACAAUUGUAGAUGGGUUGUAGGAUUAGUUAGUGCAUCAAGUGCAGGCUUGCAACUGCAAUUGCAGUUAGUCUAUAUUAACAACGCUCGAUUCAAAGGAUGAACCAGUGGAUCAUGGAUCUCGAGGUAGGCGUGGCUUGUCAUCAAAAGAGUUUCAGAGACAGAUCAGAGUUGCGCAACGAAAGCUCCGAGAAGUUAACUUCGUUAGUUGGUUAUAUUCUGACAAUGUUUAUUAUGUUGUAUAUUCUAUUUGUAAACCAAAUGACUAUUGUAUAUGUAUUAUUUUGAGAGGAGUUCUUGUAUAUAUAUAUUUCUGAGAGGGGCUAGUUUUGGGUUAAAUUCUGUAGCAGAUUUCUUAAUCGAAUGUUUAAGUAACUUAUUUAAAUUUUAG